rnacentral:lncRNA from 1 species
UCCUAUAUGAUAAAUUUGAUAUGAAACCUUAAAAAUGACAUUUCAUUAAUAGAGUUGGUCAUUAAAUAUGAUCAUAAUUCAUACAUACAAAAAACCACUUAUAUUCAACUUUUUUAAAAUGAAAUUCAAAAAAGUGGUAAAGAAAAUUUGCUUUCUCUCAAUCAAAUCAUGUUUUCACUCCAUUCAUGUUCUCUACAAUUUCCCAAACUAUGACUCUAUAACCUCAGUUUCAGCAUUCUUUUAUCUACCAUUGAGGCAUAUUCAAUGUCAUGAUUUUUUGUGCUAGUUAUCGUUGUCUUCUUUUUCUUCAUAAUGUCAUUUCUUUGUGGAUGGCUCCCUUAGAAGAUGUUUUCAUCUUUCUAUACUUUGCUUCUAUGGCAAGUAUAACGUUUUUUCAUCACAUGAGGCUUCAUACAAGGGUUGAGCUCACUGGAGAAGCAAAAAAUAUAGUUAGAUUCAAGGGCGAAUUUCAACUAAUCGGAGCUUCAUACAAGGGUUGAGCUCAUUGGGUGUUGAUGUAUCAACAACGUGUUUUGGAUCCGUUAAAUUGUAAUGGCGUGCAGAGAGAAUAUAAUGACUUAAGACUUUUUUAAUAUAUCUUGUUUUUUUUUAAAUUAUUUUUUUAUUAUAUAUAUUAAAUUUUAUGUUUGCGUAAACUUAUAUGUUUAAAUAUCCUAAAUUUUAUGCUUGCGUUAACUUCAAUCUAUGUUUAAAUAUCCUAUUUCUUUUUUUCUAAAUUAUUUUAGCUCAGCAUGGAAGCUAAGAACUUGAUUUGUAUAUCGACAACAAAAUAACGUAUUUAAAAUUUAAAACAGAAAAAUUAAAUAGAAUUACGAUUCUCCAAAAUUCAAAAUAGUAAGCACUAAGCAGUUUAGAAUCUAAUUUAUAUGUCCGAAAUAUCUAUUCUGAUAUUCAGAAACAGGUGAUUAUUUUCUUAAACGGCCAAAAAAAUGAUCAAAUAUAUAUUCAAAUAGUAUCUUUGCGACUUUUUUUUUUUUAUCGAAUAUAACGAUUUAUGUUUAUGGACCUUUAUCCCUGUGCUUCACACUCACCGGAACAAAAAAAACAAAAGGAUGCCGUCUACAACCUCUGAACCACAAAGCAAUCAUCUGCAAACCCUGUUGGAAUCGGCGCGGCCGUUUCUCCGGGGACAAUUGGAGAACGUCGACGUCAAACUUCCAUCCCUAGUCGCGGUCUUGAAAUCCGUCGGAGCUGGC